AUUGAACGCUGGCGGCAGGCUUAACACAUGCAAGUCGAGCGGGGGAGGUUGCUUCGGUAACUGACCUAGCGGCGGACGGGUGAGUAAUACUUAGGAAUCUGCCUAUUAAUGGGGGACAACAUCUCGAAAGGGAUGCUAAUACCGCAUACGCCCCACGGGGGAAAGCAGGGGAUCACUUGUGACCUUGCGUUAAUAGAUGAGCCUAAGUCGGAUUAGCUAGUUGGUGGGGUAAAGGCCUACCAAGGCGACGAUCUGUAGCGGGUCUGAGAGGAUGAUCCGCCACACUGGGACUGAGACACGGCCCAGACUCCGACGGGAGGCAGCAGUGGGGAAUAUUGGACAAUGGGGGGAACCCUGAUCCAGCCAUGCCGCGUGUGUGAAGAAGGCCUUAUGGUUGUAAAGCACUUUAAGCGAGGAGGAGGCUCUUUUGGUUAAUACCCAAGAUGAGUGGACGUUACUCGCAGAAUAAGCACCGGCUAACUCUGUGCCAGCAGCCGCCGUAACAC
rnacentral:rRNA from 1 species